AUGGAGCGCAACCCCAGGACGCCGGCUCCCCGGGUGUAUACGGAGGUCCCGCCGGAAACAAUAUUCGUGCAUGCCACCACGUCGACGUUCAAGGAGGUGGUGCAGCGUCUCACCGGCCAGCCGGCGGCCGCAAAUACCGUCGCCCAUGGCUAUGGUGCCACCGUGCAGCAGCCACCGCCGCCACCGGUGCCACUCGCGGCCGGCAUCGUGUCGCCAUAUACGCACCCGCUACCACUGCUGUCGGACAUGCCGGGCCUGUGCAUCGCCAACAAGGCGGUGGAGAUGGUGGACGCUGAAGAGGAGAAGGCCAUCAAGGAGGGGAGGUUCUACCUGCUUCCGUCGGGAAGGUGCCGCUGCUGCCACGCCGAGCCGAAACUGCUUCCAUUGUUUCCAGGAGCGGAGUAG
rnacentral:rRNA from 1 species